UCCGAGUUGACCCCGGCAGUCUCCUAUGAGUCCCCGGCAUUACCCGCUGGCAACAUAGAACGAGGGUUGCGCUCGUUGCGGGACUUAACCCAACAUCUCACGACACGAGCUGACGACAACCAUGCACCACCUGUGCACGACCCUUGCGGACCCCCCAUCUCUGGAGGAUUUCCGUGCAUGUCAAGCCCUGGUAAGGUUCUUCGCGUUGCAUCGAAUUAAACCACAUGCUCCGCUGCUUGUGCGGGGCCCCGUCAAUUCCUUUGAGUUUUAGCCUUGCGGCCGUACUCCCCAGGCGGGGUGCUUAAUGCGUUAGCUGCGCCACCGACGGGCAAGCCCGCCAACGGCUGGCAUUCAUCGUUUACGGCGUGGACUAC
rnacentral:misc_RNA from 1 species